rnacentral:rRNA from 2 species
CUAGCACCUCCUGGUGCCGGAUUAAAAGAGGGCUUCUUGCUCUCACGAUGAGAUGGGCCCGCGGCGCAUUAGCUAGUUGGAGAGGUAACGGCUCCCCAAGGCGACGAUGCGUAGCCGACCUGAGAGGGUGAUCGGCCACACUGGGACUGAGACACGGCCCAGACUCCUACGGGAGGCAGCAGUAGGGAAUCUUCCGCAAUGGACGAAAGUCUGACGGAGCAACGCCGCGUGAGUGAUGAAGGGUUUCGGCUCGUAAAGCUCUGUUAUGAGGGAAGAACACGUACCGUUCGAAUAGGGCGGUACCUUGACGGUACCUCAUCAGAAAGCCACGGCUAACUACGUGCCAGCAGCCGCGGUAAUACGUAGGUGGCAAGCGUUGUCCGGAAUUAUUGGGCGUAAAGCGCGCGCAGGCGGCCUUUUAAGUCUGAUGUGAAAUCUUGCGGCUCAACCGCAAGCGGCCAUUGGAAACUGGGAGGCUUGAGUACAGAAGAGGAGAGUGGAAUUCCACGUGUAGCGGUGAAAUGCGUAGAUAUGUGGAGGAACACCAGUGGCGAAGGCGACUCUCUGGUCUGUAACUGAC